rnacentral:rRNA from 1 species
AGCAGCCGCGGUAAUUCCAGCUCCAAUACGCGUAUAUUAAAGUUGUUGCAGUUAAAAAGCUCGUAGUUGAAUUUCGGGAUCAGUACGCUGGUCGUGCCUUCGGUAUGAACUGGUGUCACUGGUUCCUCCUUCUGAAGAACCGUCAUGCCAUUCAGUUGGUGUGGCGGGGAAUCAGGACUGUUACUUUAGAAAAAAUUGAGUGUUUAAAGCAGGCUCGCGCUUGAAUACAUUAGCAUGGAAUAAUGAAAUAGGACGUUUGACCCUAUUUUGUUGGUUUCUAGGAUCGACGUAAUGAUUAAUAGGGAUAGUUGGGGGCAUUAGUAUUCAAUUGUCAGA